CGGGCUGUAGUAUAACGGUAGUAUUCGUGCUUUGGGAGCACGCGGCCUGGGUUCAAUUCCCAGCAGCCCGA
rfam:Parcubacteria bacterium GW2011_GWB1_45_9 TX23_C0009, whole genome shotgun sequence.